rnacentral:rRNA from 1 species
AAGUCGUAACAAGGUUUCCGUAGGUGAACCUGCGGAAGGAUCAUUAUCGAAUUUGAAAGGGGGUUGUUGCUGGCCUUUACGGGCAUGUGCACGCCUCUGCUCUAUUCUCCUUCAACCACUGUGCACCCUUUGUAGGCUGGAGAAAUCUGGUCUAUGUUUUUUUAUACACACCUAAACAAGUAUUAGAAUGUCAUACUUUUCAGUACACUCGAGAGGGUGGAAAAAAAAUUAUACAACUUUCAACAACGGAUCUCUUGGCUCUCGCAUCGAUGAAGAACGCAGCGAAAUGCGAUAAGUAAUGUGAAUUGCAGAAUUCAGUGAAUCAUCGAAUCUUUGAACGCACCUUGCGCUCCUUGGUAUUCCGAGGAGCAUGCCUGUUUGAGUGUCAUUAAAUUCUCAACCCCCCGACGGAUUUGUUUCUGACGUGGGGCUUGGAUGUGAGGGUGUGCUGGACUCCAUUAGGAGGUCAGCUCCCUUUGAAUGCAUUAGCGGAUUUUACCAUCGUGGAUAGGCUUCGGACUGAUAAUUAUCUAUGCCGUCGCCGUGAAGCGGUAAUCUGCUCAUAACCGUCUUUGGACAAUUUUUUGACCAUUUGACCUCAAAUCAGGUAGGACUACCCGCUGAACUUAAGCAUAUCAAUAAGCGGAGGAAAAGAAACUAACAAGGAUUCCCCUAGUAACUGCGAGUGAAGCGGGAAAAGCUCAAAUUUAAAAUCUGGCUGUUUUGCAGUCCGAGUUGUAAUCUAGAGAAGUGUUUUCCGCGCUGGACCGUGUACAAGUCUCUUNGAAUAGAGCGUCAUAGAGGGUGAGAAUCCCGUCUUUGACACGGACUACCAGUGCUUAUGUGAUGCGCUCUCGAAGAGUCGAGUUGUUUGGGAAUGCAGCUCAAAAUGGGUGGUAAAUUCCAUCUAAAGCUAAAUAUUGGCGAGAGACCGAUAGCGAACAAGUACCGUGAGGGAAAGAUGAAAAGAACUUUGGAAAGAGAGUUAAACAGUACGUGAAAUUGUUGAAAGGGAAACGCUUGAAGUCAGUCGCGUCGUUCGGGGAUCAACCUUGCUUCUGCUUGGUGUACUUCCUGUUCGACGGGUCAGCAUCAGUUUUGAUCGGUGGAUAAAGGUUAGGGGAAUGUGGCAUCUCCGGAUGUGUUAUAGCCCUUGGUCGCAUACAUCGGUUGGGAUUGAGGAACUCAGCACGCCGCAAGGCCGGGAUUUUAUCCACGUACGUGCUUAGGAUGCUGGCAUAAUGGCUUUAAUCGACC